rnacentral:tRNA from 1 species
GAGGGUGUAGCUCAGUGGUAGAGUGCAUGCCUAGCAUGCACAAGGUCCUGGGUUCAAUCCCUAUUACCUCCA